UUUACUUAUUAAAUGAAUUUCUAAUUCAAUGUAGGUAAUACCUUAAGUAAAG
rnacentral:tRNA from 1 species